UACGUAGGGUCCGAGCGUUGUCCGGAAUUAUUGGGCGUAAAGAGCUCGUAGGCGGUUUGUCGCGUCUGCUGUGAAAUCCCGGGGCUUAACCCCGGGCGUGCAGUGGAUACGGGCCGGCUGGAGGCAGGCAGGGGAGAAUGGAAUUCCCGGUGUAGCGGUGAAAUGCGCAGAUAUCGGGAGGAACACCGGUGGCGAAGGCGGUUCUCUGGGCCUGUACUGACGCUGAGGAGCGAAAGCGUGGGGAGCGAACAGG
rnacentral:rRNA from 1 species